GGGGGCGUAGCUCAACUGGCAGAGCAAGAGACUUUUAAUCUCGAGGUUGUGGGUUCGAUUCCCACCGCCCUCA
rnacentral:tRNA from 1 species